AAUAAACCUGAUGAGUUGUUGCUGGUUCUCCCAGAGGACAUUGUGCACGCUUGUCAUCUUUAUAUCUCCACCUGUGCACAUAUUGUAGACCUGGAUGACUUUCUGAAUGCUAGUUCUAGCAGUCAGGUUUGAGGAUUGACUUUUUUGUCUUUCCUUACAUUUCCAGGCCUAUGUUCUUUCAUAUAACCUCAGUGUAUGUUAUAGAAUGUAAUAAACGGGCCACUGUGCCUAUAAACUUAUACAACUUUCAGCAACGGAUCUCUUGGCUCUCGCAUCGAUGAAGAACGCAGCGAAAUGCGAUAAGUAAUGUGAAUUGCAGAAUUCAGUGAAUCAUCGAAUCUUUGAACGCACCUUGCGCUCCUUGGUAUUCCGAGGAGCAUGCCUGUUUGAGUGUCAUUAAUAUAUCAACCUCUCAAAGCUUUUUUUGCCUUCGAGAGUGUUUGGAUGUGGGGGGUUACUUUUUUGCUGGCCUUUCAAGGUCAGCUCCCCUGAAAUGUAUUAGCAGGACAAUUUGUUGACCGUUCAUUGGUGUGAUAACUAUCUACGCUAUUGACGUGAAGCAGUUCAGCUUAUAGCAGUCCAUUGACUUGGACAAUUUUCUAUUAUUAAUGUGACCUCAAAUCAGGUAGGUAUAGCCGUGCAAUUUAA
rnacentral:rRNA from 1 species